rnacentral:rRNA from 1 species
UACGGAGGGGGCUAGCGUUGUUCGGAAUUACUGGGCGUAAAGCGCGCGUAGGCGGCUUUGUAAGUUAGAGGUGAAAGCCCGGGGCUCAACCCCGGAAUUGCCUUUAAGACUGCAUCGCUUGAAUCCGGGAGAGGUGAGUGGAAUUCCGAGUGUAGAGGUGAAAUUCGUAGAUAUUCGGAAGAACACCAGUGGCGAAGGCGGCUCACUGGACCGGCAUUGACGCUGAGGUGCGAAAGCGUGGGGAGCAAACAGG